rnacentral:rRNA from 1 species
UACGGGGGGGGCAAGCGUUGUUCGGAAUUACUGGGCGUAAAGGGUUCGUAGGUGGCCAACUAAGUCAUACGUGAAAUCCCUCGGCUUAACCGGGAAACUGCGUCUGAUACUGGAUGGCUUGAGUUCGGGAGAGGGAUGCGGAAUUCCAGGUGUAGCGGUGAAAUGCGUAGAUAUCUGGAGGAACACCGGUGGCGAAGGCGGCAUCCUGGACCGAUACUGACGCUGAGGAGCGAAAGCCAGGGGAGCAAACGGG